ACAGCAGCAGCCGCGGUAAAACGAAGGGUGCAAGCGUUACUCGGAAUUACUGGGCGUAAAGCGUGCGUAGGUGGUGGUUUAAGUCCGUUGUGAAAGCCCUGGGCUCAACCUGGGAAUUGCAGUGGAUACUGGAUCACUAGAGUGUGGUAGAGGAUAGUGGAAUUUCCGGUGUAGCAGUGAAAUGCGUAGAGAUCGGAAGGAACAUCUGUGGCGAAGGCGACUAUCUGGGCCAACACUGACACUGAGGCACGAAAGCGUGGGGAGCAAACAGGAUUAGAUACCCCGGUAGUCCCUGUCUCUUAUAC
rnacentral:rRNA from 1 species